CACGCGGCGCCCAUCCAGCUCCGUGCCCAAACAAAUUGUUUGGCCUCGGAUGACCACCAAAUUUUUGUCCCAAACAAACAAAAUUUAAUUAAGAACUGAAAAGACGUCAAGAGGAUGAGAGACUCUUCUCAGUUCUCACCUCAGGCAAAUUAUUAUUAUUUUUUUUUGAGAGAUAGUUGAUAUGCUAUCCGUUUUAUUUAUUUUAUUUAGAAAUAAAUUUAACUGAAAAUAUGAAUCAAUUAGAAUUCAAACUUGAGACAUCGGAUACCAAUUAGCAAGCCUUUUUUCACUUGCUCUAGAAACGGUUGGUAGGCAAAGUAAAUUUCAGGUCAUCUAUUUACCGAUAGUGGCCUUCUUGGCACAUUAAUCUUUUCUCUAUUGUUCAUUUGGAUAAUAUGGUAUCAAAAGUAAUUCUAAACUUUUUCGUAGAUUCAAUCCUCACUUUUAACAUUUAACGGAUUUAAAUUUUUCUUCCUUUUGUGAGGUUGUGUAUUUAAUCCCCACCUUUAAUAUUUAAUAGGUUUAAAUUUUCGUAAUUAUAUAAUAGUUUAAAUCUCAUGGGUUCAAUCCUCAUCUUUGUUCCGUAAGGUCGUGUAUCCAAUCCUCAUUUUUGACAUUUAAUCUAUUAAUUUCACGUGUCUUUUUUUUUUUUUUUUUUGAGAGAGAUAGGUAGCACGCUACCCGCUUCGUUUAUUUAAUUUAGAAAUAAACUUAACUAGAAAUGUGAAUCAAUUAGGAUUCAAACGUGGGUCUCGGGUACCAAACACUCAGCCUUUUGCCACUUGCUCUAAGGACGGUCGGUGUUUCUUUUAUAUUAAUCGUGUAUGUAAGGGCCUUAAUAUAAAGCCCUUAAUAUAAGGCUUAUUCAUCACACAGGUGAUUGGGAGUGUUAAUAUGAGGGUGCUAAUAUAUGUUUUAGUUUGUUUGAUUUGAGUCAAUCAACGACACUAUUACUUUGAAAUUUAAAUAUGUCAUUUAUAUUUACAGAUUUAUUCAAUAUACUUCAUGCAAUUUUUACAAAUAUAUAUUUAUUAAAAUAAGUAAUUAGUUUAGAUUUUAAAAUCAAAAUACUGUCGACCGUCUCGAAUCAAACAAAUUAAAAAGUCGGAUCGUAAAAUCAAAAUUUUUUAAAGAUCAGAUAACUUAUUGAAAAUAAUUCAUAGUUCAAACAAUUUCC
rnacentral:lncRNA from 1 species